CGGAUUGCAGGCUGAAACCCGCCUGUAUGAAGUUGGAANCGCUAGUAAUCGCGGAUCAGCAUGCCGCGGUGAAUACGUUCCCGGGCCUUGUACACACCGCCCGUCACACCAUGAGAGUCGGGAACACCCGAAGUCCGUAGUCUAACCGCAAGGGGGGACGCGGCCGAAGGUGGGUUCGAUAAUUGGGGUGAAGUCGUAACAAGGUAAC
rnacentral:rRNA from 1 species